rnacentral:miRNA from 1 species
UGAGGCAGGAGAAUUGCUUGAACCCAGGAGGUGGAGGUUGCAGUGAGCCGAGAUCGCGCCACUGCACUCCAGCCUGGGUGACAGAGCAAGACUCUGUCUC